AACAUAGUGUAAAUCAUGAGUGAAUUUAUGUACUAAAAUUGAGCCAUAUGAAAUCAUGUUCAGUUAGUAAAAUUACCUAUUUUAUGUAUAUAUUUUUAAAAAUCACUAUUAUCUUUUAGCACCAUGCUACUAUAAGAAUAACAAUUUUGUAAUAAUAAAUGUUUAAUUCGAUCCGACCCAAUUCAUCAAAAUAACACACACCCAACCCUCACCCCACCAACUCUACACAACAACACACACCUCGCAACACAACAACCCUAAAUCGCGAUUCGAUUGGCAGCUCGCCGAACCUCGAAACGUCGGCGACGGCAGCUUCACGGCUACCCUCUAACUAAGAUGAAACCUGAUUAUAGCUGGAUAUAUCAACAGAAUAAUGAUACUAGAAUGAGUCUUAGGGUGAAAUUUGUUGAAGGUGUCAAUCGAUUUAUUGAACAUGCCAAAACACUUGAUGAUUGGUCACUUUUUCGGGUGAUUCAUUGUCCUUGUGUUAAAUGUUAUUGUACAAGUAUUUUAAAAGAUGAAGUUGGGAAGGAUCAUCUUUAUAGAAAAGAGUUUCACGAGGACUUUUUAAGAUUGCGUACUAUUCAUGGUGAUGUUGAGCAGAAUAAUUUUGUUGUUGGUGAAAGUAGUAAGUCUGCAGUGCAUAAUAACUAUCAAGAUACUAGGAUGACAGAAAUGGUGCAUGAUUCUUUUGGGAUGCAACACUGGGGCGACUUUAGAGAAAAUGUUGAAGAUGUUCCCAAUAGAGAAACACACCAAUUUUAUGAACAAUUGCAUGCUGCUAGUCAGCCUUUGUUUGACGGAUGUUCGUACUCUCGUUUGUCUGUUGCUGUUAGAUUAUUAAGUAUUAAAUAUGAUUGGAAUAUUGCUGAAGGAGGAAUGAACUCAAUGAUAGACCUUAUUGUUGCUAGUGUAUGCAUCCUUUGCAACAUGAUUUACAUAUGAGGUGUGUAAGUGUACGAAUAUUUCUACAAAUUUUAAACACUUACACAUUCUUCAACUAAUAUAUAUAUAUAUAUAUAUAUACAUAAUAUUUUUAGGUAUACCAAUCACCAACUGUAGCCGCAUACGAUCAGUUUUUGAGAGAUAUUUCUUUGGGAUCAGUUGAAGCCCGUACAAUAUCCCAUUACACAGUAAAUAAAUUUAAAUUUUUUAACAAAAACACUCCAAAACAAGAAAAACAAACAAUAGUGGUGUUUGGGUUAAGGGUGAUGAUAACGCUGAUUACUUUGACAUCAUACAAGAGAUCUUAGAAAUGAAGUAUGUUGGUUUGCUAAUAAAAAAAAAUUAUACUCUUUUGAUGUAAGUGGUUUGAUCCAAGCACAAAAGGCACAAGAGUACAUAAGGAUCAUAACAUCAUUGAAGUGUAGCACAAUAGGACGUAUCCUAUUUACAAUCCCUUUGUUCUCGCACAAAAUGUUAAACAAGUGUAUUAUGGUCCUUAUCCGUUGCGCUGUGAUAAGUCUGAUUGAUGGGCUAUAAUCAAAACAAAGCCUAUAGGACGAGUAGAAGUUGAAAAUGUGUUGAAGACCGCGUAUCAAAAUGAAAUGCAAAUUGAUCACCAGUUAGUGGACAUUGAUUUAGUGGAUAGUUUGAACCACCCGAAAAAUAUAUUUGAAGAAGUUAAUAUUGUAGAAGAAGAGGCUCAGAGUGUAGGAGAUGAGAAAACUUCCAAAGAGCUUGACUGAUUUAGUAAAGAAUCUUCGGGAGAGGAGGAUUAAUUUGUGUAGGUUGUAUUUGUUAUGUAUUAAUGUCUUUAUGCUUUGUACUAUUUACCUUUAUGUUUCUUGUUUAAGAUUGAUGUGUAAUAUACUGUGUAGGAUUGUUGUUGUUACUUUUCCAUAUUUUAUGUAGUAAUAGAAAUAUUCUUUUCUAUCCCCUAUUGUUGGAGCGAGCCUAAACUUGAUAUGGUUAUGUAACUAUUUCACUGGUGUUUUAAUACCGAUUUAGUGAUUUGAAAUGUGAAUUAGUUAUUUGAAAUUAGUUACUUGGAAUGUUUUAACACUGGUGUUUUCUUAUAUUCAUUUUGUAAGGACUAACUACUUGUUAACUUUACAUAAUUUAGAUGGGAGGUAAAGGUGACAAAGGUAAGUAAAAAGUUGAUCCUA